AAAGAAGUUCCAAGAACCAGGACGACAUUUGCAGGGUUUUUUUUUUGUUUGUUUUUUUUUAGAACUUUAGAAUUUUACUUAAAACAGGAAGGUGUCUGGUCAACCUUGUGCCAACUGUCUCCAUUAACAGGGAACUGAAGUCAUUUUGUUUCGAGAACCAAGCUUUUCCAGAAAGGCACCUGAGCUGUUCCCAGUGCUCAGCCAUGCUUCUGGUCCUCAUCUCAUUCCUGGGGAUACAUUAUUUCCUGGGAGGUGUCCAAACACAGACAGUUUCUCAGUCCGAUGCCCAUAUCACUGUCUUUGAAGGAGACUCCGUGGAGCUGAGAUGCAAGUAUUCUUAUGGUAGAACCCCUUACCUCUUCUGGUACAUCCAGCACCAUGGCCAUGGCCUCCAGUUUCUCCUCAAAUACUAUACAGGAGACCCUGUGGUUCAUGGUAUGAACGGCUUUGAGGCUGAAUUCAGCAAGAGCAACUCUUCCUUCCACCUGAGGAAAGCCUCUGUGCACUGGAC
rnacentral:lncRNA from 1 species